AGUAGUAUAUACAUCAGACAAAUUCGAGUUUUAGUAACUAAGAAGAUGAAGAACUACUGGUUGAAAUGUGAAUAGAGCAAAUACAGAAACAUAGCUUGAUUGAAGACAUGUCCAAAUGCGAAAACAUAGGUAUUCAAGUUUUCUCUAACACCACAGAACCGUGCUUACAACUCCAACCCGCCUGAACCUUCCUUACAUUGUAUAUAAUUCAUCGCAUGUUAUCUCUGCGCCUGUUGUACCUAUUGGGUCUUAUUCUGUCGUUACGCUGAGGGACAGGCUCUACUCUCCUCUGUCGUUCAGGUGAUCUCUGAACUAUCUCUCCAUU
rnacentral:lncRNA from 1 species